CCUACGGGGGGCAGCAGUGGGGGAUAUUGCACAAUGGCGGAAACCCUGAUGCAGCGACGCCGCGUGAGUGAAGAAGUAUUUCGGUAUGUAAAGCUCUAUCAGCAGGGAAGAAAAUGACAGUACCUGACCAAGAAGCCCCGGCUAACUACGUGCCAGCAGCCGCGGUAAUACGUAGGGGGCAAGCGUUAUCCGGAUUUACGGGGUGUAAAGGGAGCGUAGGGGGUUAUGGAGGGCUGGAGUGAAAGCCCGGGGCCCACCCGCGGGACUGCUUUGGAAACUGUGUAACUGGAGUACAGGAGGGGCAGGCGGAAUUUGUGGUGUAGCGGUGAAAUGCGUAGAUAUCAGGCGGAACACCGGCGGCGAAGGCGGCCUGCUGGACUGAAACUGACGUUGAGGCUCGAAAGCGUGGGGAGCAAACAGGAUUAGAUACCCGAGUAGUC
rnacentral:rRNA from 1 species